GGCAGUUCUUGGGUGAUGCACCCCAGAAUCGGGCUCCCUCCUCUCUGGUUCCAGUGUGUGUCACCCGAGAACCACA
rfam:Myotis brandtii contig180760, whole genome shotgun sequence.